CACGCACCCAACCGCAGCUAUUUUAUUUUCCUUUUAAUUUUUCUGAAGGAUAUACACCACAUAUCCCAUGGGCAAUAAAGCGCAUUCAAUGUGUUUAUAAGCCAGUCACUUUGUUUAAGCAAACACAAGUACAAAGUAAAAUAAAACCACAAAAUAAUGAACUGCAUGUUCAUAACAUACAAAAAUCGCCGCCUACUCAGUAGGUAACUACAACAUUCCAACUCCUGAAUAUAUUUAUAAAUUUACAUCUUCAGUUAAAAAAAUAGACUUUUGAGAGUUCAGAUUUUGUUUUAGAUUUUGUUUUCUUACAUUCUGGAGGACCGAGGCUUAGCUCAGCCCUCUUCCUUAUUUUGCUCCCAAAGCCUCCCCCGAAUCAUCACUCCCUGCCCCCCUUAAGGCUAGAGGUAAGCACAUCCCUCACAAUUGCACAUGUCAGGCUGUCAGCAAGGCGCAUCACACAAAAGGCACCAAGACGUGAAACUUUUUAAACCAAAAGGACGAAAAGGAAGGAACACUUUCAAAAAAAGGAAGAAAAACCAAACCAUAUUUUGUCACAUGUGAGAGUACAGUCGGGCAAUAUUUACAAAAAGCUUCAAACUUAAUCGUCACAGCAUCAUCACAAAAUAAAGGAUCACCGUUGGUUUGCUUGGCUUUUCUUCCCCCCCGCCCCCCAAAGUGAGGACCUAACUCCAAAUAAUACAAUAGAAUAUGCAAAUUAUCUUCACAUCAAGAGUACCCCAAGAAAAACAAAAUCCAUGGCACAGACACUGUACAAGGAUGCGGGGCUGGGCUCUGAGAGGCCCAAACCCCAUUUUUGCCAACUUGAUUUUCUAGCAUUGAAGGGAGCAGGGGGUCAGGCAUACGAUGGAGAUGAUACUGAAAUGAUAUAUCCAAAAUCCAUGCAAAUCAAGUUCUUUGGAUAGAGGUGAAGAACUUGGACAUGGCUGUUUCAGGCAGCUGAAGUCAAAGGGCGUAGGAACUGGGGAGGAAGGACAAGUGGGCAGAAAGGACUGCAGGCCAACAGACCUUCCACGCCAACCUUGGGGUGGAAUAGAGGGGGAGGAUUUGGCUCUGAGAACCUCCAUUUCACUUAAGAGGAACCCCUUCCUGUGGCCAUCUCCUCCUCCUGGCCGUUAAGGUUAAGUCUCUUGUGUUUCUUUUUCUCCCCUUUCCCUUCUUUCCCCUUUCCCUUUAGCAAAUUUCAAUUGUCCUGGGAGAAAAGGUUGUCGUCAUGUCCGAAAGCCCUGUGGAGGCGCUGAAGGAGUUGGUGACAGCUGAGGAAGGGAAGCUGCUGACUUGGGCCGGGAAAGCAGGGGGAACAGAGGAGUAUGUGGUGGCCACUGAGGGUGAGGGGAAGCCGCUGUGCACAGGGGAUGGGUAGGUUGAUGACCCGGGAGAGGAGUAGGAGGUGGGCACAGGGGAUGGAUAUGAGGUGGUGGCUGGGGAUGGGUAAGAGGUAGUAACUGGGGUCGUGUAGGAGGUAGCCACCUGGGAGGGGUAGGAAGAGAGGGAGGUGGCGGCAGAAGAGGCCACAACACCUUUGUCUGCUUUUUUGUCCUUCUGCCUUAAGUGGAUCUUGGUAUGCCUCUUGCGUUCAUCGCUCCUGGCAAACUUUCUCCCACAGAUGUCGCAGGCGAAGGGCUUCUCGCCUGUGUGGGUGCGGAUGUGGGUGGUGAGAUGGUCACUGCGGCUAAAGUUGCGCAUGCAGAUGCGACACUGGAAGGGCUUCUGGCCGGUAUGGAUGCGAAUGUGGCGGGUGAGCUCAUCAGAGCGGGAGAAACGGCGGUCACAGGACUCCACCGGGCACGCAUACGGGCGUUCAUGAGGGGGCGUCUUGCUGGGCCGGUUGGGGUACUUGCGCAUGCGGCUGGGUUUGAUGAGCUGGGACUGGUAGGUGGUGUUGAGGGCCUUCAAGUCCUGGGAGCCCGACUGUGUGGCAAAGGCCUUGAUGGUAGACAGUGGAGUGAGUGAAGGCUGCUGGGUACGGCUCUCCAGGCCCUGGAAGGGCUUCUGGUCUGGGGUGCCCAGGCCCAGGUCCCCCUGCUGUUGUGGAAACAGAUAGUCAGGGAUCAUGGGGACUUGGAAGCCACCCUUGGCAGCAGGGUAGGCAGGAGGCGGGUACUGGAGCGAAGUGCCCGCAGAGCCGGGAAAGGCCUGGCUUUGUGGCCGGUGGGUUGGUCAUGCUCACGAGGCCGCUGACCAGGCUGAAGAGGGGCUCAGGCCACAAGGUGUUGCCACUGUUGGGUGCAGGCUCCAGAGAGAAGCGGCCAGUAUAGGUGAUGGGGGGCAGCCGGGUGGUUUGGCUGGGGUAACUUGUCUCCACCAGAACCUUCUCGUUAUUCAGAGAGAUAUCAGGAAAAGACUCUGGCAGGAAAGAGAGAAGGGGGAGGCCUGGUUACUGGAGAGCAAUCACUGGAGGACGAGAAGGACCAGAGCUGCCAGGCAAGAGGUUGGGCUGGCUACCAUUGACUCCUGAGCUGGUUAAUAAUUGAUAGCAGCAGAUUGCAAUGUUCCUGGACCCGCUCCAGCGGCAGAGCCCAUUUCAACAACAGCUGACGCAAAUACGGAGAAUCCCCCUCCACUGCAGCUCCCAGCUCUCUGCAGCGGCGGCUGCGCCACGGAAGGAUUCCCGCCAGCACCCCUUUCACCGCGGCUAGUGCGCGCCCCCUACCCCCAGCUGCCUGGACAUCCCUGGGCAUGGAUCGCGGCCCUUCCUUGGGGACAGGCGGCUGGCAAAGCAAGCCUGUCUGGAGAAAGGGGGGCGCAGCUCUGCUUUUCAAAACAAGCCCUCCCCCCUCUCCACCCACCCACGCAGCCCGAGCUCUCCAUCCAAAACAGAAGCUAGCUCCUCUGCGCACCGCUAGGGACCAGGCGGGUGAGGGUGAGGGUGGAUGUCCCUAGGCAUCCCUCUAACACAUGACCCUGAGGAAGGGAAGGGAAAUCCCACUUGCAUCCCUGAGGUCCAGAACACUGCUGCUGCGGUGAAGAGGGCGCUGCAAGGCGGUGGGGAAGGACUGCUCGCCAGGAUGGUGGCGAAGGGGCUAAUCCUCGGCGUAGGCCAC